GUGGAAGUGGUGUGGUGGUUUGAGUGUUGGACUAUAACUCUGGAGACCAGGGUUCAAUUCCCAGCUCAGCCA